CUUAACUCUACUAAGAGUGUUUUAUUCAAUCUUAUGGUUAAUCAUUGUUGAUUGCCAUGAAAAUUGUACUCUGUACAUCUUGCAUGUAUAAGUCAGGUAUGAAAGGCUGAUCACCUUCAUUACCAGUUGGUUCAGAAAUGUUUGUUCAUGUUUAAAACUUGUUCAGUCAAAAGUUUGUUCAUGCUAGUUCUCAAUUAUAUUGAUGAAUUAUAGCCAGCUCUUUAUUCUGACUCUUUCAAUCAUGAUAUAUCCUUAAAUUGUAUUUAAACUUGCU
rnacentral:lncRNA from 1 species